GCUUAGCCAUAAACUUAGAUAAUAUAAUACCACUUAUCCGCCAGAGAACUACAAGCAAAAUACUUAAAACUCAAAGGACUUGGCGGCAUUUCAUAUCAACCUAGAGGAGCCCGUCCAAUAAUCGAUAAUACGCGUUCAACCCUACCAUUUUUGGCAACUCCAGCCUAUAUACCGCCGUCGUCAGCUAACCUUGUGAAAGAACAAUAGUAAGCAAAAUAGCCUACACAAAAACGUCAGGUCAAGGUGUAGCUCAUAAAAUGGAUGUGAUAGGCUACAUUUUCUACUUUAGAAAACACGGAUAAUACAAUGAAACUUGUAUAAGAAGGCGAAUUUAGAAGUAAACUAAGACAGGACCCUUACUUUAACACUGCCCUGAAAUGCGCACACACCGCCCGUCACCCUCCUCAAAAUUAGAUGAGGCAAGUCGUAACAUGGUAAGCGUACUGGAAAGUGCGCUUGGAUU
rnacentral:rRNA from 1 species